CAUUCCAUUCUAUUCCUUACUCCAAUUCAAAGUAGCAUGAAAACACUUUGCAACUAGGUUUGAAAUUCCCGCCCUUUUUCACAAUUACUCACCCAAAAUCUCCUUCAAUUCUCUCUCUCCCCCUAAUCAAACUCAAUCACAGUCGCGCUUACUUCAGAAUUCCAAGCAUAAGUGAAAUUUCACUAGACUUUGUCUUCAACUCCGUCCUAAAGUUCUCCAGCUGGCCAGCUUAAUCUAUAUCAUGAUCUGAUGAGAUUUCUUAAAGUCCAAGUUUACAAUACUAUCUACUUCUUCAGUGGGGGAUUGGGUCCUUUUGUUAAUGAUUUAUGAGCAAGAAGAGCACUACCUAGCUCUGUAGCAAAUUUGAUUUGGACGGGAACAGUGUUGAGUGGCUCUUGGAGGCUUGGAGCUUUUUGCUCAGUUACUGUAUGACGAUACCUACCCAUUAACUCAAAGUAUACUUCAUCUUCCCAGGAAUCUCUCUAGAAAAUGAGCAAGAGCUGCAUCAAGAUACUCAUUUACCACAGAAGGUUGGAAUGGAUCUUUGUCAACUAGUCGUCUUCAUAUGUAAAGUAGCUGGUAGAUUCUUCUCCACCUGCUUUUCCAUUCUCCUAGCGGUGGUCCAUAGUUUGGACUAGAGAUAAUAUACCUUACAACUGUGCUUUGGAGCACUGAAUUUUUUAUACAGCCUCAUUAUUAUACUUUUUAGGCUAUGGAAGCAGGAACCUCAACUUUUAGCAGCAGGCCAACAAAAUGGAAUUUUUGGGUGGGCAUGAGAAAAAUCUUGGAUUCUAAAUGUGAUUAAUGAGAAGUUGAGAAUUGUAUCAAGUAAAUGGUAAAUACUAUGAUAAUGUUGCAAUUGACACCUUAGAUGUAAAAAUUGAUAAUUUUGGAGGGUGACUGUUGACAGAUACACAUACAUACUACACUAUUACAUAAGAAUAUACAAUUCUUAACAUCCUGUGACAAGUUUAGAGGGUGACUGUUAAUGGUGUAUCUUAUGUAUCAAUCAUUGAAACGACAUUUGGCAUGCUGUACCUAAUUAUUAGUCACAUUAUUCAUAUUGUUUGCAUUACAAUUUGGGGUGAUGAAUUUUUUGUUCAUAUGGUAAACUCCAUCCAGUGAGAUAAGGGCUUCUACUUGAUCGGUUAUCUUGUCGGUGAGUAGCAUCACUGCUACAUCCCCCAAGUCCUCACUUCAAAGAAUAAAAUGCUAGUAUUCUAAGUAUGUUGUUAGACCUCUCUUUUUUCUUUCUUUCUGUAAUAAUUUUUCCUUUUGUUUCUGUGCAUCCCUUCUAUUAUGACAAAGAUGUCAGAGUCUCAGGAAUAAUUAAGCUCAUUAUAUUGUGGCAGGACUAGACAUUAAUUUUAAAGGCGCGAGGAAAAGGUAUUCCAUUUCUUAUAUGGGAUGAGCCUAGUUAGUACUUAGUAGUGAGGUCAGCUAUCAGCAACUUAACCUCUGAAAUUUUCCAAGUACCUGAUGCUUUGUUUUGAGCUUAUUGUUUCUGAAACUAAGGUGAUUAUGUCAGGUAUAAGGAACAAUAUACUUCCAUCAGUACUUGUGAUUCUAGCUACGGUGGUACGAACAAACCGCUGCAAGUUCUUUUUUGAACUUUUUAUCUGUGCAUGAAUGUUGCAUUAUCACCUUUUCCUUACAGUCACAUUCAUAAAGGUCCCAUAAUGGCACAUUAUUAAGCUUCUGCUCUAUUCAGUUCUCAAUAGCUUGGACAAAGGCUUCUACCUUUUAUCUUUGAUUUUACAUUUCCUUCUCCCCUUUUUAUCCCAAUUGCUAGACAAUAUUCUCCUAGUGGAACAUGAUUUAUGAUGUUUUUUGGACCAUUCUAGAUGGCUUUAACCUUAAGCUUGUCUGCUAUAAGUAUGUUCACGAUUAUGUUAAUCUUUCUUUGGAUUAAAUUUAGGCGUUAAGGUGCUGCAUUUUCGUGAGGAUCUAUUACUGGUGCAUUCUUUCUUAUCAUCAUUUGUCCUUCAUGAUUCUUCUCUAUUGAUAAUUUUGUUUGUUCUGAUAGCAGGGAAGGGCUUACAGCCAUUACAGGUUGCUGUUAUUGACUUCAUGAAUUGAAGACCAGAUGGGCAUAUGAUGUUAUGGACUUACGGUCAUACGUGGUACAAAUACAAUACGUUUGUGAUUAUAGAAUACUUUGAUAUUGCAUCAAGUUGAUGAAGCAAUUGUACUGAUACGGCUUUGUACCAACGCCUUUUCAUGUUCCAACUAUUAGAUUCCUUCCUAGUGAUCCAACACUAUAGAAUUACAUACCUUAUUCUAAAGAGUGACUGAUAUUUGCAUCAUAUUUUAAUCAUUUUGGGAGAGUGGAUGGAGCUGUGGAGUGAGAAGAAAAGAAUGAGCAUCUUCUUUAUGCGCCUCAAGUUGCUUAGAUACUUGGAUGUUCUUUGUAUAGGCCAAUCUGAUUUUCGAAUAUAUGACAUAUGUUAGGGAGUAAAUGAUUAACUUUGUCCAUGGCUUAAUAUGCGAAUUAAGAAUUACAAGUUUCUAUUAACUGUGUGAGAUGCUUAAAAAUUUAAAUGCAUAUCACAAGGUAUUUUGUGAAACAGGUCGACGACUAACAGCAGAUACAAUUUUGGAUAUAUGGGGCGGUGAUAUGCUAAUAAAGACACCCCCAAUU